rnacentral:sRNA from 1 species
UGCAUUCCCCGGACGGGGGGGAUGAGAACCCCCGACCGGGGUUCGACAGCUGGCGCAGCCAGCUGGACAGACCGCGCACGCAGUAAGCGGGCUGCCCGUAGGGCGAGCGAAGCGAGUCAAUCCCCCCCUCACCGCCA